rnacentral:rRNA from 1 species
GAUUAACGCUGGCGGCGUGCAUAACACAUUCAAGUCGAACGGUGAUCACCUUCGGGUGUGAUCAGUGGCGGACGGGUGAGUAACGCGUGAGCAACCUGCCCUUAUGUACGGGAUACCAACGGGAAACUGUUGUUAAUACCGUAUGACCCAAUAGUACCGCAUGGUACAGUUGGCAAAGAUUUAUUGCAUAAGGAUGGGCUCGCGUCUGAUUAGAUAGUUGGUGAGGUAACGGCUCACCAAGUCGACGAUCAGUAGCCGGACUGAGAGGUUGAACGGCCACAUUGGAACUGAGUAACGGUCCAGACUCCUACGGGAGGCAGAAGUGGGGAAUAUUGGGCAAUGGGCGAAAGCCUGACCCAGCGACGCCGCGUGAGGGAAGAAGGUCUUCGGAUUGUAAACCUUAAACAACAGGGACGAAACAAAUGACGGUACCUGUUAGGAAGCCACGGCUAACUACGUGCCAGCAGCCGCCGUAACAC